AGUUCAGUAAGAAGGAGACAAUAAUGGCAUGCUGCAUGCAUGAGACAGCCAUAAACCAAGGAGAGCAUGAGCCUUGCCCCGACUAAAAAGAGACCUCUGUGAAAUGUGAUGUGGAGCCCGAAAACACAUCCGAGCCUUUGAUGAUUUUAAUCAGUAGUAAUGCAUUGUCAAAUGAGUUGUGAGGAAACCUUAGGAAUCCCACAAGAAAGACCUGCACUGGUGGUGUGCUCUUCCCUCUUUCCUUUGAGUGAUGGAGUUUACUUGUGGUCCUGCUGCUGCAGUGAAACGGGAUAUCAGUCAUCCGUGACAGAAUCCCGCACCUUACUAUGGAAUCAGCAGGAGCAGCCGCACCAACUCUCCCAUCGAUGGAGGAGAGGGUCCACCAUCACACCCCCAUUCUUCACCGGAUUGGGUCAGCUACGGAUCAGAUAAUGGAGAGGAUUGACCGAUGGGAGAGGAGUGGCCUUCCCACCUCUUCUCCAGCGCCCCCUCCACCAGCACCGCCUACCCCUGCUUCAGUGUCCGGCUCCGGUGCCCUGCGUCUUGCGCUCCCCAGGGAGUGCGAUGGGAUGGCGGCUGGGUGUCAGGGGUUUCUCCUACAACUGGAGUUGUACCUAGCUACCGUCCUUCCGACUCCCUCAGGGGAAGAGAGCUUGAGCGUCCUCGUCUCCUCUCUGACGGGGCGAGCCCUGGAGUGGGCCAACGCAUUGUUUAAUGACCCAGACUCGGCGAGGGAUCACUACCCCGGUGAACGGCUGUUCCACCUGCGACAGGAGACGAGGAGCGGGCAGGACUUUGCACUGGAGUUCCGGACCUUGGCCGCAGGGGUGGGGUGGAACGACAGGGCUUUGAUGGACCACUACCCUUGUAGCCUCAGGGACGACGUCCACAGGGAGCUAGCGUGUCGGGACACCACCAUCUCCCUGGAUGAACUGAUAGACAUGUCCAUUCGUCUGGACAACCUGCUGGCUGCCCGUGGGCGUCCAGAAUGGGCCCUGUCAAUUCCACCUCGAGGCCCUCCUGCUCCCAUCACCAUGGAGUUAGGGGGGGCUGCAUCGAGGGGGACCGGAGGAGGAGUUUCCUCCUGCACCAGUUGUGGUUGGCGAGGACACACUGCCGACCGGUGCUGGAGGAGCUCGUCUGGGAGUCGGGAAGGCAGGCGGAGCACUACUCGUUCACCCCAGGCCGGUGGUGGCUGGUCCCCUACAAGAAGGUGAGGCGCCUGAGGUCCCUCCGCCCCCUCUGGACAUCGAGGGGUCCCAGGCAUACACAGUACGUGCCAUUCUGGACUCGAGACGCCGGGUGAGGGGCCUAUAGUACCUCGUGGACUGUGAAGGGUACAGUCCGGAGGAGAGGUGCUGGGUAGCGGUGGGGGACAUUUUGGACCCCUUCACUCCUGAGGGACUUCCACCGCCUCCACUUGAAUUGAAGGUGGAACAUCUCUCUCCGGAGACCACCGCCUCUCAAAGACGCUUUCCCCAAGACAGAAACAGUGACCUUAUUACUUCCAGAGGGAAUACUUCUUUCUCUCUUUUCUCUUUAAUUUGACAAGUCAUAGUGUUGUGCUAUAGUGAGAUGGAAUUACAUCAUCAACUGCAUGGAACAGAGCAGAGCUAGGCACUGCUAGGCCUUUUCAACAUGUGCUGUUGAUCUUGGCCAAGGUGUCUGGAGCAGUGCAAGGCCCGGUGAGAGGUCCGGGAAACAAGAGGUCCCUCUCAGGCUAGGAGGAGAGGGUCGGUAGGAGGGAUGCAAUGAUAGCAGACCUCUACAACCACCUGUCGAUAAGAAUGCACCUACCAGUUGACCUUGGAGCUCUCCCUUACUGCUGGCUUUUGGUUCAAAGAGAUAAACCCAAUGGCUACAUCCCGAAUGGCACCCUGUUCCCUAUAUAGUGCACUACUUUGAACCCAGAGGGCUCUGUUCAAAGUAGUGUGCUGCAUAGGGAAUAAGGGUGCCGUUUGGGAUGUAGCCAUUGGGUUUAUCUCUUUGACCCAGUACCACGCAGUACCACGCACAGUCAUAUCAAUGAAUUUUCUCAUUGUGUAACAGCGCACCUAUAUGUGUGUCAUAACUACUCUACAAUACGUAUUCAAGGACAUUUGCUUGGCUACUAAGAUGUGUUUUCAUUGAGUUAUACAUGUGAUGCAAUUUGGGUGUUAUUCGUUAUUUUCUUUAAAAUAGCCAAGUUAAAUUACCAAUCUGCUGUUUUGUAGCCAAGAGGUGAACACGGUACACAAGCGACAAUAUGGAUCUACUUAAAGUAGUUUAUCACAUGGAUUUCUUCCCUCGGAAAGAAGUGUGAGACAGCUCUCUGAAUGGUAAAACAUCUCUGAACAUCAAAGGUGCUAGAAUGUGGGCCUGGGGUGAAGGAAUCGUCCCACUGUGAACACGGGGUUAAGACAGGCCCCACUCUGCCGUUCACUCCUGUCAUAAAAACAACAGGCAACCAAGUGAUGAUCAUACAAAUGUAUUUAUCUGCCCUGAAAUCAAGCGCUGAGAAUCUUUCCAGCCAAUUGGAUGUCCGAGUGUGAUUCCCAGGGCCGGGGAGGAAGAGGGUUUAUUUUUGGGAAGGAGAGGGCUGGCCCAUCAAAGACCAGGCUGAUGACAACAGGAGUUGUGUGUAAUGUAUUUAUCUGCUGGGUUCUGCCUUUCAUGACGCGCUUCUUGUUAAAUGUAAUCAGGGCUCUGUGUGUUUGUCAUGGCAGGGCCUGAACAAUAAGGACAACCCUGUCUUACCAUACAGGACUAGCAUUGUCGACUGAUACACAGUAGUCGACACUCACAGGUCACAGAAAACGGGCAAGGCCGCCACCUGUCAGGCAUUAAGGGUACUGCACUGACUGUUAGGCACAGGUAAUGUUUAUCAUGACACGCCAGACAACACAAGCAUUUUUUGCUGCAGGUUAUUGUGGUUUUGAUAAUUAGGACUCAUACUCGUCUGAUACAAAGUAUGAAAAAGGUUCAGAAAGCACCAAAAUGGUCUCUAUUACUGCUGUCAUACUAUUCACAUUAUAUCGUGCCUCAGAAUUUAUUUUAAAAAACUUUUGAAAAAUAAAUAUUUCACAAAACCAGGUGAAGUAUUAGCUGGAAGAUAAGUGUGUGUUGUGAAUGGAUUGUUUUGAG
ensembl:lncRNA